rfam:Procavia capensis cont1.432566, whole genome shotgun sequence.
UCUGCCAGUUGCACAGAGCAUUGUUCACGGAUUUUCCGAGCCUGAUGGAUUUACAGUGAUAGUCGGCUACCUGGGGAC